UGCUGACCUUCCUCCAUAGCAAUAACAGAUUUUAUUCAAGAUCAAAUUGCUGCAGCCCCUUUUGUUGAAAAGACUAUCCUUUCAUCAAUGAAUUUAUUUUGCACCUAUGUCAAAAGUGUUAUCUGCCUGAAUAUUCAUGAAUGGGAGACUACUGAGUAAAUUAUGCCACCACCACAAAAUUGACUACUAUGAGGUCAUUGAAAGCAGAGUAAGAGGAGAAGGAGGAGCUGGAGGAAGAAGAGGAAGAGAUGGAGGAGGAGGAGGAAGGAAGAGAAAGGAGGAAGAAUAAUAUACAUAUAAAGUUAUCUACACAGAAAAUACCUGUGAAAUUGGUUUUCUCUGGGGAAAGGAACUAUCUGGGAAAUGAGGUGGAAGGAAGAUUUUCACUACAUUCCUUUCAGUGCCUUUUGAAUUUCAUAUCACAUGCAUGUAUUACCCAUAUGAAAAACAGAAUAACUUUUAAAAGUUAUAGUGCCCUUCAUUUUAUAAUCACAGGCUAUUGACGCCUGUUCAUGGUGUUUAUCCCUUCCAUAUCUUGCUUUCUUGAUUCUCAGAACAAGAAGACAGUGGGCCAAGUCCUCAGGACGAGUGAUGCUUGGUUGUUUUAAUUGUUGCCUUUUUGUCAAAAGCAGAAAAGCAGGUGAGAAGUUUUGAGCCACCCCAAAGAGAAGUUUGAUUCUGCUGGUGCUGUCAAAGAUGACUGCAAUGAUAGUUUUGGCCAAAGCUCCAAAAAGUUCCCUGAGAGACUCAGAGACUUGUGUGUCUGUGGUUGCAAGGGGUUAGCAAAGGGAGCCCUGUAUGAUGAGAACUGGCCACCCUAAAGGUUUUACCUUCCAAGUGCAGCCCAUGCACACCAACAGCAUAGAGCUGCAGCCAAGACAGUCUGUGAUGAGCAGAUUGGAGCAACACUGUCUGGAAUUGAUACUCUCAACAGAAAUUCCCUUAAUAGUGUGGGAUUCCAAGGAGGGAAGACCCCUUUUGUUCAGAGUGAUAAAUCAAGAGACGGAGUUUUGUUUUGUUGUCAGA
rnacentral:lncRNA from 10 species